rnacentral:misc_RNA from 1 species
UCGUAACAAGGUUUCCGUAGGUGAACCUGCGGAAGGAUCAUUACUGAUUUGCUUAAUUGCACCACAUGUGUUUUGUUCUGGACAAACUUGCUUUGGUGGUGGGCUUCUGCCUGCCGCCAGAGGACAUAAACUUACAACCAAAUUUUUUAUAAACUUGUCACGAGAUUAUUUUUAAUAGUCAAAACUUUCAACAACGGAUCUCUUGGUUCUCGCAUCGAUGAAGAACGCAGCGAAAUGCGAUACGUAAUAUGAAUUGCAGAUAUUCGUGAAUCAUCGAAUCUUUGAACGCACAUUGCGCCCUCUGGUAUUCCGGAGGGCAUGCCUGUUUGAGCGUCGUUUCUCCCUCAAACCCCUAGGGUUUGGUGUUGAGCAAUACGACUUGGGUUUGCUUGAAAGAUGAUAGUGGUAAGGCGGAGAUUGCUUGACAAUGGCUUAGGUGUAACCAAAAACAUUGCUAAGGCGGUCUCUGGCGUCGCCCAUUUUAUUCUUCAAACUUUGACCUCAAAUCAGGUAGGACUACCCGCUGAACUUAAGCAUAUCAAUAAGCGGAGGAA